CCAAAAGAAGCCGCCGACAGGAAAGCACUCGCUUCUAUGUAGCUGGCUGGGCCCUCCCGCGCGGGAAAAUAGCGGCGGCGGCGGCGACGCAACACAAAACUUCUUUCGGAUCUCGCCGCCACGCACCCCACCUAUACAAAGUCACGGGGUGCGUCAGCCAAUAAGGAAGGACGCAGAGCGGCGUUGAAAGCACAGAAGACAUCGAGGCUGCCUAAAUGGAUAUAAGAAACUGGUUCUAAAAAGGCAGAAAACCUCUCAAACGGAAAAAGGAUCAAGAUGACAGUGGAAGUGGAAGCAAUGAUGGUGAUGAAGAUGGAACUAAACUGACCGAACCAGCACCCAGCUAGAAUCAGCAAGUGUGAUAUAGAGCAUCAUAAAAGUGUUAUGCAUGGAACCAGACCUUUUUACUGUAGUCCUUGCUGUGAUGCACAAUUGAGACAUUUUCACUGUCUUGCCAUGCUGUCCUCAACCCUAUUAAUUCAACCAUACCAAUGUGCUUCAGGUUAUGAAUAUUAAAUGUAACCUGUGAAACUAAUUAUAACCAAAUUUCAAGUGAAUGUUCAAUAUAAUAUUUAACAGGAUACCGUCAAGAGAGCAGCAUGCAUUGUACAGAAACACAUUUCUUAUGCUGGUUGGAAUCACUGUGCACUGUAACAUGAUUCCCUAAUAAAUAAAAAUAAAUUGAAUUUUA